rnacentral:rRNA from 2 species
GCGUAAGCGCGCGCAGGCGGUUUCUUAAGUCUGAUGUGAAAGCCCACGCCUCAACCGGGGAGGGGCAUUGGAAACUGUGGGAACUUGAGUCGCGAAGAGAGAGGCGGAAUUCCACGUGUAGCGGUGAAAUGCGUAGAGAUGUGGAGGAACACCAGUGGCGAAGGCGGCUUUUUGGUCUGUAACUGACGCUGAGGCGCGAAAGCGUGGGGAGCAAACAGGAUUAGAUACCCUGGUAGUCCACGCCGUAAACGAUGACUGCUAGGUGUUAGAGGGCUUCCGCCCUUUAUUGCUGCACCUAACGCAUUAAUCACUCGGCCGGGGGAGUACGGUCGCAAGACUGAAACUCAAUGGAUUUGACGGGGGCCCCCACAACCGGGGAACCUUGUGGUUUAUUUCAAACCAACCCAAAAAACCUUCCCGGGUCUUGACUGCCUGGGACAUCUCUAAA